GUGCCAGCAGCCGCGGUAAUACGGAGGGUGCAAGCGUUGUCCGGAAUCACUGGGUGUAAAGGGUGUGUAGGCGGGGCUGUAAGUCAGAGGUGAAAUCCCACGGCUCAACCGUGGAACUGCCUUUGAUACUGCAGCUCUUGAGUCCCGGAGAGGUGGCUGGAAUUCGUGGUGUAGCGGUGAAAUGCGUAGAUAUCACGAGGAACACCAGAGGUGUAGACGGGUCACUGGACGGGUACUGACGCUGAGGCACGAAAGCGUGGGGAGCAAACAGGAUUAGAUACCCUGGUAGUCCACGCCGUAAACGAUGGAUGCUCGGUGUUGCCCCGCCUUUAGGGGCAGUGCCUAAGCUAACGCGUUAAGUGCCCCGCCUGGGGAGUACGCUCGCAAGGGUGAAACUCAAAUGAAAUGACGGGG
rnacentral:rRNA from 1 species